CGUCUUUGCGAGUUUUCUGAUC
rnacentral:piRNA from 1 species